ACGUAGGGGGCAAGCGUUAUCCGGAUUUACUGGGUGUAAAGGGAGCGUAGGCGGUCUAGCAAGUCAGAAGUGAAAGCCCGGGGCUUAACCGCGGGACUGCUUUUGAAACUGUUGGACUUGAUUGCCGGAGAGGUAAGUGGAAUUCCUAGUGUAGCGGUGAAAUGCGUAGAUAUUAGGAGGAACACCAGUGGCGAAGGCGGCUUACUGGACGGUAAAUGACGCUGAGGCUCGAAAGCGUGGGGAGCAAACAG
rnacentral:rRNA from 1 species